GACGAACGCUGGCGGCGUGCUUAACACAUGCAAGUCGAACGGUAAGGCCCUUCGGGGUACACGAGUGGCGAACGGGUGAGUAACACGUGGGUGAUCUGCCCUGCACUUCGGGAUAAGCCUGGGAAACUGGGUCUAAUACCGGAUAGGACCACUGCCUGCAUGGGUGGUGGUGGAAAGCUUUUGCGGUGUGGGAUGGGCCCGCGGCCUAUCAGCUUGUUGGUGGGGUGAUGGCCUACCAAGGCGACGACGGGUAGCCGGCCUGAGAGGGGGACCGGCCAGAGUGGGACUGGGAUACGGCCCAGACUCCUACGGGAGGCAGCAGUGGGGAAUAUUGCACAAUGGGCGCAAGCCUGAUGCAGCGACGCCGCGUGAGGGAUGACGGCCUUCGGGUUGUAAACCUCUUUCAGCACCGACGAAGCGCAAGUGACGGUAGGUGCAGAAGAAGGACCGGCCAACUACGUGCCAGCCGCCGCCGUAA
rnacentral:rRNA from 1 species